GGGGAUUUAGCUCUGUGGCAGAGUGUUUGCCUAGCAAACAUAAGGCCAUGGGUUUGAUCCCCAUCACCA
rnacentral:tRNA from 1 species